rnacentral:rRNA from 1 species
CGGGUGAGUAACGCGUAUCCAACCUUCCGUACACUCAGGGAUAGCCUUUCGAAAGAAAGAUUAAUACCCGAUGGUAUGAUGAGAUUGCAUGAUAGCAUCAUUAAAGAUUUAUCGGUGUACGAUGGGGAUGCGUUCCAUUAGGUAGUAGGCGGGGUAACGGCCCACCUAGCCGACGAUGGAUAGGGGUUCUGAGAGGAAGGUCCCCCACAUUGGAACUGAGACACGGUCCAAACUCCUACGGGAGGCAGCAGUGAGGAAUAUUGGUCAAUGGACGAGAGUCUGAACCAGCCAAGUAGCGUGAAGGAUGAAGGUCCUACGGAUUGUAAACUUCUUUUAUAAGGGAAUAAAACCUCCCACGUGUGGGAGCUUGUAUGUACCUUAUGAAUAAGCAUCGGCUAACUCCGUGCCAGCAGCCGCGGUAAUACGGAGGAUGCGAGCGUUAUCCGGAUUUAUUGGGUUUAAAGGGAGCGCAGACGGGUCGUUAAGUCAGCUGUGAAAGUUUGGGGCUCAACCUUAAAAUUGCAGUUGAUACUGGCGACCUUGAGUGCAACAGAGGUAGGCGGAAUUCGUGGUGUAGCGGUGAAAUGCUUAGAUAUCACGAAGAACUCCGAUUGCGAAGGCAGCUUACUGG